rnacentral:rRNA from 1 species
UACGAAGGGGGCGAGCGUUGUUCGGAGUUACUGGGCGUAAAGGGCGCGUAGGCGGCGGUCCAAGUUAGGCGUGAAAGCCCCGGGCUCAACCUGGGAACAGCGCUUAAGACUGGAUUGCUUGAGUGCGGGAGAGGUGAGUGGAAUUCCCAGUGUAGAGGUGAAAUUCGUAGAUAUUGGGAAGAACACCAGUGGCGAAGGCGGCUCACUGGCCCGCAACUGACGCUGAGGCGCGAAAGCGUGGGGAGCAAAC